AGUGAACGCUGGCGGUAGGCCUAACACAUGCAAGUCGAACGGCAGCACAGUAAGAGCUUGCUCUUACGGGUGGCGAGUGGCGGACGGGUGAGGAAUACAUCGGAAUCUACUUUUUCGUGGGGGAUAACGUAGGGAAACUUACGCUAAUACCGCAUACGACCUACGGGUGAAAGCAGGGGAUCUUCGGACCUUGCGCGAUUGAAUGAGCCGAUGUCGGAUUAGCUAGUUGGCGGGGUAAAGGCCCACCAAGGCGACGAUCCGUAGCUGGUCUGAGAGGAUGAUCACACACACUGGAACUGAGACACGGUCCAGACUCCUACGGGAGGCAGCAGUGGGGAAUAUUGGACAAUGGGCGCAAGCCUGAUCCAGCCAUACCGCGUGGGUGAAGAAGGCCUUCGGGUUGUAAAGCCCUUUUGUUGGGCAAGAAAAGCAGCAGGUUAAUACCCCGCUGUUCUGACGGUACCCAAAGAAUAAGCACCGGCUAACUUCGUG
rnacentral:rRNA from 1 species